CUGUAGCUUGGUGGUAGAGCAUCUGCUUUGCAUGCAGAAGGUUCCAGGUUCAAUCCCCAGCAUGGGGG